rnacentral:hammerhead_ribozyme from 1 species
AUCCAACUGACGAAUCGCAAAUAGGAUGAAACACGUAUUCUGGAU